rnacentral:rRNA from 1 species
GACGAACGCUGGCGGCGUGCUUAACACAUGCAAGUCGAACGGAAAGGCCCUGCUUUUGUGGGGUGCUCGAGUGGCGAACGGGUGAGUAGCACGUGAGUAACCUGCCCUUGACUUUGGGAUAACUUCAGGAAACUGGGGCUAAUACCGGAUAGGAGCUCCUGCUGCGUGGUGGGGGUUGGAAAGUUUCGGCGGUUGGGGAUGGACUCGCGGCUUAUCAGCUUGUUGGUGGGGUAGUGGCUUACCAAGGCUUUGACGGGUAGCCGGCCUGAGAGGGUGACCGGCCACAUUGGGACUGAGAUACGGCCCAGACUCCUACGGGAGGCAGCAGUGGGGAAUAUUGCACAAUGGGCGGAAGCCUGAUGCAGCAACGCCGCGUGCGGGAUGACGGCCUUCGGGUUGUAAACCGCUUUCGCCUGUGACGAAGCGUGAGUGACGGUAAUGGGUAAAGAAGCACCGGCUAACUACGUG